UAGUUACCUGUCAAGCUAUGCAGACCAUAAGACAAACACACUUUAGUGGGUUGCGCUUUAUCGCCAAUAACAAAACAGAGCCUAUGAUGAAACUGGCGAAAUUUCCCUUUCAAAUGAGAGACUACAAUUUUGAACUCUCAGUGGGAGAGAUUCCAAACGCUAUCUAAAUAAUAUGCAGAACCAAUAUUUGAUCUUUUAGGCCUUUUCCCAUGGAAUAGCUAUUGGACAACAACAAAAACAGAAUAUCUACCAUUGUUUAGAAACGUUUUAACAUUUUGUAUCUGUACUCUCUUAUAAGAUAAAAAAACGCUCUAACAAAAAACUUAAUAAUGAGCCAUGUCUUGAGAGCAGUUCUAAGUUGAACUUAGUUUUGAGUUUCAUAAAUUAUAGUUUCGAAACAUAUUUUUCUCGAAGCAGUUGCUAAGGGAACGUAGUUUUACCAACAUUUGUCAUUUUUACGCUCCUUCAGUUCUUCUGCCUUUUUUUUUUUGCAAAAAAUCAUUUCUACCAUUAUGAAUUAUUGAUUACGUGGACGGGGGGAAAUGUUCAGGUCCAAAUGCUUUGCAUGUUGGGAGGUAAUUCGUGGUUUCAGCAUGGGUUUUUCGCACGUGCGAAACUUGUGCCGUCCAUCAUCUCUCGAAAUAUACGCAAGCUGAUUGGUCCACAGACAAUAGCACACGAUCUUUUGUCCACAAAACAAUAACACGUCACUCGAUGGAACCACAGAAUCGUUGAUUGACCAAUCAGAAUUGAGCAUUCUAUCUAUCAAAGGUCAACAUUGCUUCGACUUGGCAGGACUUCAAACUUUGGUGAAAUAUAAACGCAGAAUAAUUUUUGAGCGGGAACUUUUUUUGUUGUGAGCAAGGAGAGGAGAAAACUGACACCGAGAAACAGAAAGCAGGAGUCAUUGCUUAUGGCUAUGCGAUUGGUUCGCCUUUAGUGAGCGGUGAUCAACUCCUCGAUAGCUGAACUUUACAGAGCCAUAUCGCUGUCAUAUCCGGGCAGAGAAAAAAAUAAAGGCGGUGGUAUGAUUGUUGGUGCGAGUACAGUAGAGGGGAAUGUACCGGAAUCCAGAACGGUUUUGUCGCCGAAGAGCAAGCAGAAGUUCGAGAAAAACUUGACAAAGAAAUGUGACGUCCAAACGUAUAAAGACAUCGGCAGAAUGCUUGCCUUAAUCGGCGAUCAACUAAACAGCCUUCCAAAGCUGAGAAUAGAGAAUGGAGACAGCUCGAAUGGCAAGAAAGUUAGACCUGCGGGGUCAUAAAUACACGGUGAUAAAAAGGGGGGGAAUGGUGUAGAUACUGUACAGAAACAAUUUUUUUCUUUUUUCGACAAAGAAAUGGCAUUCGUCGUCAUAUGAUGUAAAAUAUGCUUUCAUAAAUUAAAUAUUUUUACUGUUGCUGUUAUGUAAGAUCGCGGAUGUUAGGAUGUUUAUCAACAUCAAAAUCAAAACAUAUGUAAAUAUGAAUCCGAUCGUUGAACCCAUAGGCGCACUUUAUUAUGGCUCGCGUUGCCUAGGGUUUCUAUUAUCAAUGUUUAAGGAACCGGAACUUCGUAAGUUAAAAAAAACUACUCAGUAGGUCAGAGAACAAAGAGGCGUUGUACACGAACUAUGAAUAACCUCACUACCGUUCUUUAAAUAACAUAUGUAAGAAAAUAACUAAAUCGUCGUUUAAAAUGUCCUUAAGUUAUCAAAUAGAUAUAAGGGGAGCACCGAAUAUAAAGAAGAUGUUCCAAGGUCAUUUUUAAAUGAAGUGAGAUUUGUUUGUAAUGUA